CCUACGGGGGGCAGCAGUGGGGAAUAUUGGACAAUGGGGGCAACCCUGAUCCAGCCAUGCCGCGUGUGUGAAGAAGGCCCUCGGGUUGUAAAGCACUUUCAGUGAGGAAGAACGCCUGGUGGUUAAUACCCAUCAGGAAAGACAUCACUCACAGAAGAAGCACCGGCUAACUCCGUGCCAGCAGCCGCGGUAAUACGGAGGGUGCGAGCGUUAAUCGGAAUUACUGGGCGUAAAGCGCGCGUAGGUGGCUUGAUAAGCCGGUUGUGAAAGCCCCGGGCUCAACCUGGGAACGGCAUCCAGAACUGUCAAGCUAGAGUGCAGGAGAGGAAGGUAGAAUUCCCGGUGUAGCGGUGAAAUGCGUAGAGAUCGGGAGGAAUACCAGUGGCGAAGGCGGCCUUCUGGACUGACACUGACACUGAGGUGCGAAAGCGUGGGUAGCAAACAGGAUUAGAUACCCUAGUAGUC
rnacentral:rRNA from 1 species